UAGUGGCGCACGGGUGCGUAACACGUAUGCAACCUACCUUAUAGACGGGGAUAGCCUUUGGAAACGGAGAUUAAUACCCGAUAGUAUAUAUUGAUGGCAUCAUUAGUAUAUUAAAGAUUUAUUGCUAUAAGCUGGGCAUGCGUCCAAUUAGUUAGUUGGUUAGGUAAUGGCUGACCAAGACGAUGAUUGGUAGGGGAACUGAGAGGUUAAUCCCCCACACUGGCACUGAGAUACGGGCCAGACUCCUACGGGAGGCAGCAGUAGGGAAUAUUGGGCAAUGGAGGCAACUCUGACCCAGCCAUGCCGCGUGCAGGAUGAAGGCGUUAUGCGUUGUAAACUGCUUUUAUAUAGGAAGAAACAGACCUUGCGAGGUAAUUUGACGGUACUAUAUGAAUAAGCACCGGCUAACUCCGUGCCAGCAGCCGCGGUAAUACGGAGGGUGCAAGCGUUGUCCGGAUUUAUUGGGUUUAAAGGGUGCGUAGGCGGUUUAUUAAGUCAGUGGUGAAAGACGGUCGCUCAACGAUUGCAGUGCCAUUGAUACUGGUAGACUUGAGUGAGAUUGAGGUAGCUGGAAUGGAUAGCGUAGCGGUGAAAUGCAUAGAUAUUAUCCAGAACACCAAUUGCGUAGG
rnacentral:rRNA from 1 species